CCCUUAGAUGUUCUGGGCCGCACGCGCGCUACACUGACGAAGUCAGCGAGCAUGUCCUACGCCGACAGGUGCGGGGAAUCUUGUCAAACUUCGUCGUGAUGGGGAUUGAUUAUUGAAAUUCUUGAUCAUCAACGAGGAAUUCCUAGUAAGCGCAAGUCAGCAGCUUGCGUUGAUUACGUCCCUGCCCUUUGUACACACCGCCCGUCGCUACUACCGAUUGAAUGGUUUAGUGAGAUCUUCGGAUUGGCGCCACUGCGGCUCAGCAAUGGGCUCGGUGGAUGCCGAAAAGUUGAUCAAAUUUGAUCAUUUAGAGGAAGUAAAAGUCGUAACA
rnacentral:rRNA from 1 species